rnacentral:lncRNA from 1 species
UAUAACAUGCCUCGAUUAAUCAAUUUCACGCACGAGCAGGUCACGGGUGUGGUCAAUUUGAUCAUUUUAUAUUUCAAACCGGUUUAUUCCUUCACAAAUAACUAAGCAGACAAGUCGAUAGUUCGUGUACAAAAAUACCUUCAUCACAAGUUUGAAGAGCUGGCGUUUUCCAGUAAAGUUGCCAAAGAGAGGAGGAUGCAAGAAAAAUGCAGAUAAGUUUUUGAACAAAUUCUCUUUUUCAUUUAUAACGUAUUUCAUUAAAUUAAACUGUUAAAGAUGAAUGAAAAGUUACAACAAUUGGCCACUAAAGCUCUUGAAUACAAUGUAAUUUUAAAUAUUUCCGUGUGUUAUUUAUUAAUGUCCAACAAUCAUCGGUUAUUUACGAUAUAUAAAAAAAUAUAUGAUUGCAAAUUUGGGAAUGAAUGAACGUAUCUUUCUAUGGUUGUAACCAAUAGCAAUUGAAUACUUUGAAAGCGUAACAAUCUUCACCAAACUUGAACAAAAUGUGUUUGACCAUAAGACCUUGGCAAAGUUCGAUAACUUGCCAACAGGCACUUUGGAAUUUUGGCCAUUGAAACUUGUUUUUAUAAUCAAAGCACUGAAAGUCUGGUAAGGCAGUCCAUUAUAAUCAAAGCACUGAAAAUCUGAUAAGACAAUUGUGGGAGACAUGCGCUUUUCUCAAAAGCAUCUCUAGUUUAAGAAAUAUAAUAUCGUGGUUAUUUACUUAUUGUUCUAUUUAUAUAAUUUUUAUGGUAUCCUCAUGAUGAGGAUGUUGAUGGCGACGUUCUGCUAUUAAUCAUACCUUUAAACACAAAAGUAAAAUAUGAUGAUGAUGAUGAAUGAUGAUGAUGAUGAUGGCGGUGGUGUUUAUGAUGAUGAUUAUUAGUCUAUGUAUUUUACUGUACAUUGGGUGAUAAUAACAGCAGUACUAUAUUGAUCUUCCGAAACUGGAAAUAGUUUAAAAAAUUAAUCAUGCAUUAAGUGUUAGAUUGUGUCGCACUUUUUUCAGUAUACAUCAGUACAAUCUUUUGCUUUGUUUUAUUUCUAAGCAGGUAUUGAAAGGAAAUUUCUUUUGGGUGGUGGGUAAACAAACAUACAGGUGGACAAUAGAAAUUUAUGCUGUUAUUUGGUAAAGUUGUUAAAAUAUGUUAUUUGGUAGCAAUACCUGAAGGUAAGUAGUCAGGUAAAAGCUAUAUGUUAUUAAACCGUCGUCUUUGGUCUGUUUUGCUCUGCCAUCUAAAUCGGUUUGUGACCAAAUUAUCUAUUUAAACGCUUGUUAUCAAAAACUGUUUUGAUGUGGUUGUUGUAGAAGCGGAGGAUAAAAUUUCGAUGUUAUUGAAACGUUGUUAUUGGUCCAUUUUGUUCUGCCGUAUGUGAUACAGACUAUACAUAGGUUUGUGUCCGUAAUAUCUAUGUUAACGCUUGUUAUUAAACUGUUUUCCUGCGGCUUUUGUAAAACAGGUUGUCUAUGGAGGUUAAAUUGAUCGAACUGAUCUGAACGGCAUAUGUCAUACAAAUUUUGCUUUCGAAAUGCGACUUUGCUUAUGCUAGAUGCUUCUUGUGCAUGUAUGUAUUACGUAAGAAAAUAUUUCGUAUUAUACUGCCAAUGACUUAGUCGUAAGAAAUUGCAAUAACAAUGAUUCUUGAAUAUUGCGUCAGUGUGAUAUCUUACUGCCGCCAUCGAUCUAACUAAUUAUUUUCGUUCACAGUGCCAAAUCUAGGGCUGUGCGCUUUGUGUCAUUAUCGUAAUAAUGAAUCAUUCAUCAAUAAUAAAAAACUGUAUAGUAUUUCUGUUAUUUAAAGAUUUGAAUUCGCGACGUUAAACCCAUUAAAAUAGAUAAAUAAUUUUGAUAUUAUAUUUACAUUUAUUUAGUUGCUUGUGCAUGCAGCUUCUACAUCCUCUUGUCAUUGGCGUUGUGCUGUCGAUAUAUGUUAUCAUACCGGAGCCAAGGAAGAAGCACUGUCGAUUCAAACAGUACACUAAGAAUGGAAGGGCAGCAUGAGAGCACUGUCGAACCAUUUGGCGGAUUGCAUUAGAGACUUUGCUAAAUCUAAAUCUAAAUAUACACUGGGAAUGGCAGGGUGGCAUGACCUCGGUAGAGUUCUUUCACCUUGGACUGGUGAAAACAAAUGGAAACUUUGCUAGUAGGGUUAAAAUGAGAUUGUUGGAGGAGUACAUCGCAAAAUGCAGAAUUAUUCAUUUCACAGCUGCGACAGCAGACAUUAGAGCAUCGUAUAAACAAGACGUUCCUUAAAGUAAGGAAAAGAAACGAAGUUUGCAAAUCCACACCCUAUACCGUGAUAACGCGACACCACAGGACAACAUGUCACCGGAUCGGACAUCGUGACACUUUUCGGUGAUUGUUUUCGUUUUGCA